AAAAAAAGAAAACAAGACAAGGAAAAACAAAGAACAAAAGAAUAGCAAGAACUCAUCUUCUUUCGUUUUGAUUUCCGGAUUCCAUCAACUUUCUUGCCUUGUUCUUUGGUAUCUCAUUCAUCCCCCUCACCUGAACAACCUGAGAAAAAUCGUCUGGCUGUACAAUUUACAAAAUUCUCUCAA
rnacentral:ribozyme from 1 species